CCUACGGGGGGCUGCAGUCGAGGAUCUUCGGCAAUGGGCGAAAGCCUGACCGAGCGACGCCGCGUGAGCGAAGAAGGCCUUCGGGUUGUAAAGCUCUGUCGAGGGGGAUCAAGGGAAACUUGAGUGAUCCCUGGAGGAAGCACGGGCUAAGUUCGUGCCAGCAGCCGCGGUAAGACGAACCGUGCGAACGUUGUUCGGAAUCACUGGGCAUAAAGGGCGCGUAGGCGGCUUGUCAAGUCAGGGGUGAAAUCCGGCAGCUUAACUGUCGAAGUGCCUUUGAUACUGACGAGCUAGAGGGAGAUAGGGGUCUGUGGAACUUCUGGUGGAGCGGUGAAAUGCGUUGAUAUCAGAAGGAACGCCGGUGGCGAAAGCGACGGACUGGAUCUUUUCUGACGCUGAGGCGCGAAAGCUAGGGGAGCAAACGGGCUUAGAUACCCCUGUAGUC
rnacentral:rRNA from 1 species